rnacentral:rRNA from 1 species
AUUGAACGCUGGCGGCAUGCCUUACACAUGCAAGUCGAACGGUAACGGGCCUUCGGGUGCCGACGAGUGGCGAACGGGUGAGUAAUGUAUCGGAACGUACCUUUCAGUGGGGGAUAACGUAGCGAAAGUUACGCUAAUACCGCAUAUUCUGUGAGCAGGAAAGCAGGGGAUCGCAAGACCUUGCGCUGAUUGAGCGGCCGAUAUCAGAUUAGCUAGUUGGUGAGGUAAAGGCUCACCAAGGCGACGAUCUGUAGCGGGUCUGAGAGGAUGAUCCGCCACACGGGAACUGAGACACGGUCCAGACUCCUACGGGAGGCAGCAGUGGGGAAUUUUGGACAAUGGGGGCAACCCUGAUCCAGCCAUGCCGCGUGAGUGAAGAAGGCCUUCGGGUUGUAAAGCUCUUUCGGCCGGGAAGAAAUCGUAUCAGCUAAUACCUGGUGCAGAUGACGGUACCGGCAUAAGAAGCACCGGCUAACUACGUGCCAGCCGCCGCCGUAAAAC